rnacentral:rRNA from 1 species
AGCCUGACGGAGCAAUACCGCGUGAGGGAGGAAGGCUCUUGGGUUGUAAACCUCUUUUCUCAGGGAAGAAAGAUGACGGUACCUGAGGAAUAAGCAUCGGCUAACUCCGUGCCAGCAGCCGCGGUAAUACGGAGGAUGCAAGCGUUAUCCGGAAUGAUUGGGCGUAAAGCGUCCGCAGGUGGCAAUGUAAGUCUGCUGUCAAAGCGUCUGGCUCAACCAGAUAAAGGCAGUGGAAACUACAUAGCUAGAGUAAGGUAGGGGUAGAGGGAAUUCCUGGUGUAGCGGUGAAAUGCGUAGAGAUCAGGAAGAACACCGGUGGCGAAAGCGCUCUGCUGGACCUUAACUGACACUGAGGGACGAAAGCUAGGGGAGCGAAUGGGAUUAGAUACCCCAGUAGU